rnacentral:misc_RNA from 1 species
AUCGAACCUGCAUCUCCGACAGACCGUGUCGGUGCUCUAGCCAAUUAAGCUAUGGAACGAUGUACCCUUCAAGGAAAACUAUCGCGCCUUAUUUGGCUACUGUGAAAUAAUGCCGAUAUUUGAGAAGGUUGAGUGUGCGCUAUUGAUCUAUCACUUCCUUAACUCUCAGCGGUUUCUUAUGCCUUUAGAUGGUAAAAUUGUCACAAGGAGGACCCAUCAGAAAGAUAUGAUCACGAACGCUAAAACUUCGAAUUGUUACGGUAGGCGAACGUGUAGCUAUCUAAUACCUAGAAUUUAUAAUAAAUUGUCAGUGCAUUUUAGAAACAAGCUAAGCGUAACAAACGUAAAAUACAAAUUAAAACAAUACUAUACACAAAAUAUUAGGAAUGAAUUUGAAUCAUUAUAAUAAUUAUUACUUCUAGUUUGCCUUAUUGUAAAAUUGUAAAAUUUAAUGUAUCU